rnacentral:rRNA from 1 species
UUAAUAAAGAGUUUGAUCCUGGCUCAGGACGAACGCUGGCGGCACGCUUAACACAUGCAAGUCGAACGGAGAAUUUAGCUUCGGCUGGAUUCUUAGUGGCGGACGGGUGAGUAACACGUGAGCAACCUGCCUCUGAGAGAGGAAUAGCUUCUGGAAACGGAUGGUAAUGCCUCAUAACAUACAUUUAUCGCAUGGUAGAUGUAUCAAAGAUUUUAUCACUCAGAGAUGGGCUCGCGUCUGAUUAGAUAGUUGGUGAGGUAACGGCUCACCAAGUCGACGAUCAGUAGC